rnacentral:pre_miRNA from 1 species
CAAAUACUCCCUCCGUUUGGAAUUACUUGUCGCAGAAAUGGAUGUAUCUAGACGUAUUUUAGUUCUAGAUACAUCCAUUUCCGAGACAAGUAAUUCCGAACGGAGGGAGUAUUAG